rnacentral:lncRNA from 1 species
UCAGCCACGAUCCAUACCAAUCAACCUCUCCAUCCGAAUUUUUCGAACCACGAUUAAUGAAGUCUGCUCAUCGAGCUCGACUAAGAAACGACCUCAAUAAGCGGAGGGACUAACUAUAUGGGUCAAAAUUAGAUCAGAAAAAUUAGACACGAGGUCCAGGCCGUGGACGUACACACCAAGGUCGGACUGUCAUCAACAAUCGUGGACAUACACACCAAGGCCGG